AAAGUUAUGAUUUCAUUGAACGAAAAAGAAGUGUUUUGGUCUACGAUAGACCUUAUACAAUGGCUAAAACUGAAAAUUUUCACAAAAUGACAUAUCUUGAAUGAACAACAAAAGAAAGAAAGCAAAUAAAAUAGGAAAAGUAAAGGUAAUUAGUGAGGGUGGUCAUCUUCAUUGAGCUAGGAGAUGAAGCUGGCUAGGAACUCAGCGUUGAUACACCUUACCAGAUUUAAGAUGUACUGUUCAUCAAAAGCUUUACCUUCAAAAAUAAACUUGUUGCAUGCCUUUUAGAUCUCACACUGUAGGUUGACUACUUCUCUUAAUUUAUGGGUUCUAUUUCUACUUCUCUUCAUCUUCACAACUAAUUCCAUCCAUCACUGCUAUACUUCUUAAAUUUGUUGUGAAAAAGGAAUUUCAAUUCCUCCAUUGGUCCAGACUGUCCAAGAUUGUUAACAGAAAAUCAAGCAAUCAAGGAUUGACUUGUCGACACCAAACAUCUUUAACAAUCAGUUAAAAUAGUGUGAAUUCUAUCAUUCUCACAAGGAUUUCAUUGUGCAUCACCUUCCAUAAAAAGACCCUAAAUUUUUGGUUCGCAUUCUAGGUUCUAAAUGGAGUUCCAAAGCUUUUUCUGUUGGCACUGAAUCAACACUAGUUGACAAGGCGGAUGGUAGAAUUUAUGAGAUAGUGUAUAACCUAAGGCAACAGUGUAGCUACCCUUUCUUUGUUGUGGCCAGGAACCAUUUUGUCAGAUUGGGAUAAGUGUUCAUUAGUGCUUUUGCUAGGAACUGUGUGGUUUUUGAAGAUGGAGAAAACACUGUAGGAGAAGCAACAGAAGAGAGUUACCUCUGGUGCGAUGAAAAAGAGAGGAGAAGAGACUCAAUUGGGGAUUAGGGUUUUUAAUCUCAAGGGACCAAAUUGAAUAAAAAUAGUUUAUGUCGCCACGUCAGCUAGCUGUUGUGCUUACAGAGUGUCACCAACGAAUCCAACUCAGCUUUUCGGUUGCGCCAGCUGGACAAAAUUGGCCAGAAGGACGAGUAUGAGUCCCGGAGUGCAACUUCAGGGAUGAAUAUGAGUAAUUUUUAAUUUCAUAGAUCAUUAUGAAACUCGAGGAUAAUUUCAGGGACUAUUUUAAGGCUUACCUCGAAACCUUAAGUAUAAUUGUACUUUUUUUAAAAGAAUAUUCUAUCAAAAAUGUCUUAGUAUAU